CGCGCGGUGACCGUCGAGGUGACCUGCACCUGGCUCCAUGGCGGAACCGGCCGGCACGGAUUAUUCCCCUCUCGGGAGAGGUCUGCAGCCGGGCCUCAGUGCUUCAGUUCGUGGCCUGGCAUUUUGUGAAGAGUGUCUUCAUCUCUGCAUCCCUAGUGCAACAGAGCAUGACAAAAAUUCAACAAAUAUUUAUUGAAGAGUCUUGAUGUCUUUUGGGAAAGGAACUCUAUGGUUACCUUUACUCUAAGUUAAAAACAACAACAACAACAACAAAAACACAAAACCCUGAGGCUCAGAAGAUAAAUAUUUGCUGAAGAUCACUGUGCUUAUUAGAUGGGUGUUACUGAUUCUUACCUCAGAGAAGAGAAUGUCAUGGAGACAAAAUGACCUGCUUAGAGUUCUGCACCCCCCAGCAUGGAGAGCAGAGCGCAAAGAUUUCUUCCGGACUCCCACAUUCCCCUUGGAAUCCAAGAACUGGUCUACUGUCACAACACUUUAGUACCCUCUUAGAUGGGGAUCUCACUCUGUUGCCCAGGCUGGUCUCAAACUCCUGGCUUCAAGCAAUCCUCCUGCUUCGGCCUCCCAAACUUCUGGGAUUACAGAUAUGAGCCACCACGGCUGGCUGACAGGCACCAAAUUCUAGGAGAGGACUUGAAUAGACUCCCAAGGAGGCAGCAGAAACUGGGGUAAUCACAACGGUCAACAGCAGCAAAGGCAGCACUUUCUGA
rnacentral:lncRNA from 10 species